GGCAAGUACAGAGGUGACAGCAGACCAGCACAGGGGUGGAACUGUGUUGGGCAAAGCAUUUCCACCUUCAUGACAGCGUCCUAAUGUUUACUGUGGUGAUAGCUCUGUAAGUUUGAAGAGAGUAAAAAUGACUGAAAUGUACACUUUAUGACCAUGCUGUGUGGCAUGUGGCCCACAUCCCAGUAAGGAUGUAUGGAAAAGAACAGGCACAGGCGUUGCUGGAGAUGGUCUGCCUGGCUCCAGAUCCUGCAUGGAGCAGGAGCCUGCUCUGACCCUCAGUGUCCUCACAGGCAGAAUGCAUGCAGCUCAGCAGGCUCUGACAGUGCCGCCAACAUACUGUGUCUCUUGCCAGCCCAAGGCCCACCUCUGCCCCACCACAGAGAUUGCAGGAGGCUGGGGACAACAGCAUCCACAAGGUGGGCAAAAGUGGCACACCCCUCAAGUCUGUUCUGUGGAGACCUUUCUGAGCAACCCAGGAACCAAGCAGCCCAUCUGUCAUCCUAGGUGAGCACAGUGCAGUGGGGAUGGUGCCCAGACCUGCUGCCAAAUCUCUAGUCAGGCAGGGUCUAGGAGCCAGCCUGGCUGCUUUCCUGUGUCCCAUCCCCUAGUGCAGCUUGUCUGCACUCUCAUUCCCCCAAUCUCUGACCACAGACCUGGCCCUGAAGCACCGGAG
rnacentral:lncRNA from 1 species